CUCGUUGAAGUGACAGAUGUCCCUCUUUGCCUUUGAAUAGCUAGCUCUGCUUUGGAAUUGCUCUUAGUGUUGCUCUUAGGUGCUGAUGAGGACCCUGGGUGAGAAUAUAGGGCCUAUUUUUCCAGGUCCAUGGAUCUCUCAGCUUGAAGUCAAGAUCUCAUUUCCUUCUUACAGACCUGCCCCUUCUUCCCCUUUCUAGCUGGCAAAGAAGCAGGCUGCUUCUUCCAGGUUUCAGAAACUGUGGUCAUUUGAUGGUGCAAGAAGUCAGACUGUGUUUUGUUACAAGCAGCAGAAAGCUCCAGGGAUCCUGCCUAGGAGGGAGUUGGGACAAAACAUUGGGUUAAAAGGAGGUGGGAGGGGUAAUCCGUUUGCUCCAACUUCAAAUCCCACCACUGACUUCUUUGAACAAGGGCUAUCAGAUGAAGCCCUCUCCCAGCGAGCUGUGUGAAAUUGGAGACUCCACUUACCUUCUGCCUCUUAAAAUUAGGCAAGCCCUCCACGCAGCAAAAGAGUUAUUACUUUCUUGCCUAUGGUGUUAUCGGGACUGAGAACCUCAGACCAUUUUGUGGUCAUAAACCAGAAACUUGGAGAAAGUACCCGGUAUGUUUGCAGGUGGGACUCCUUGUAAAAGACACUUGGUAGCCCAUGGUCUGAAAGGCAGGACAAAGCAAAUCACGUAGCUAAGUCCAGCCACCAUGCUCCAGUACCAUCUCCUUCAGGACACGAAAGGGUAUGAACAGCCAAGUCCUGUAUUGUCGCACAUGCUCCAUGAGGACCUGGGGACCUUCUCAGCCAGAAGGACCAGCUGGAUGGCUGCUUCUUGCUCAAGCGUCCCUCGAGUUUCACUCAUGACUGUCAUUGAAGGGUUUACUGAGUCCCGCAUCACUCAGGGUCCACUGAGAUGUCCCUGCUAUUCAGCUUUAAGGAAGAUCACUUCAAUUCUACUCAUGCUUAUGCCCUGCCCUGUGAAGAUCUGA
rnacentral:lncRNA from 1 species